UGCACUUGCACCUGCACCUC
rnacentral:miRNA from 2 species